rnacentral:pre_miRNA from 1 species
UGGAUUACCCUUACAAAAACAACUGACUUUGGUUCUCAAUACAGUAAGUUGCUUUUUGUUGGGGUAGUUUUG